rnacentral:rRNA from 1 species
AUAAGAUUAAUUUAUUUAUUUUUAGGUAUUGCAUACCAUUAAAAAAAAAUUUUAUUUAUAUAAAAUAUAGAAAUAAAGAGUAGAAUUUGUAUUAAUUAUAUUGUUACAUAAUAUUAAUUAUAUAAAUUAGUGUUGAAAAGUCGUUCUUUAUUAUAACUGUUUUGUUUAAUGUAUUAGAAAUUUAUAUUUGUUGUUAUUUAUUGUUAUAAUUAUAUAAUUUGAAGUGUUAUAUUUUCUAGUUUUAUAACUGUUUAUUGUUUUUAUAAAUUUUGCUUUGUUAUUUUAUUAUUAAAUUUUUAAUAAUUAUAUAAUUUUUAAAUUAGUAGAUUAAUUUUUAAGUUAUUUUUUUUUUUAAUAUGACUAGAGAAAUCAAAUUUUAAUCAAAUGUUUUUUAAAGACUUAGACUUUAAUUUAAAGUUUGCUUCUGCCCAGUGAUAAUAUUAAAUGGCAGUCUUAGCGUGAGGACAUUAAGGUAGCAAAAUAAUUUGUGCUUUUAUUGAGUUCCAGUAUGAAUGAGUUAUUGGUUAAUUGUUUUCUUGUCUUAUUAUUGAAUUUUUUUUUGUAUAAAAAAUUACAAUUGUAAUUAAACAAAGAUAAGUCUUCGGAAAUUCUUUUUUAAUAUUAAUAUUUUUUAUUAGUAUUAAAAAUUUUCUAGGGCAGAAAUUUAUAUAAUUUAUAAUUUCUAUUAAUAAAUUAUAGAAUUACUCCGGAGUUAACAGAAAAUCAUAUCAGAUCUAGUUCUUAUAGUAUGAUAAGUUUUACAUCGAUGUUGUAUUUAAGUAUAUUAAAAAAGGAGAAGAUUUAAAUAUUAAGACUGUUCUUCUUUUAAUUAGCUUAACGUGAUAUUAGUUUAAUUCAUUG